UUUUGAUUCUUUUGGCUGCCUGUAGCCACUCAAGCAAGCCUUGUAGGAAGAAAAGUCAACUUCAAGUUGUCCAGUUACUAGAAGCAGGUUCCUACCUGAGCACUCCAGGAUGCUGGAGAUCAGACAAAUUCAGUCUAUAAAUGCAAUUCAAUUCUUCAGAGCCGUAACAGACCUGUACCUGCAACUUCACAUGUGCUGCUGACCAAUGGUAGCAUAAGGCCCUUUCCCCACGGAGCUAAUGGAUAACCCCAUGGACCAGGAGCUGCGGGCUAGAGCGAGACCUCCAAGUUGUGACACGCUGCUAACUUGUGGCAUGUGGGACACUACAGAGCAGCAGAGAAGGCCAGACAACUGGAGUUAUGCACACCUAGCAGGAAGACAGUCAAGAAUACUGCAGGUGUCUGCAAGCUACAUAUGGCAUUUUUGGUGGCUGCCCUUGGAUCUCAUGCAAGCCCAGAUACCCAAGGCUGCAAGUUACCAAGCUUCUGUACCAGGGUGGACCUGUGAGUGGAUUCAGUGAUAUGUCAGCUCUGCCAAGAGCAAACAGCCUGUAGAAGGUCUAAAGGUCCAGCAACCUCUGUGUCCCGCUCCCAACCACCUGCAUCAUGUCUCUGGAUAUUUUGCAAGCUGGGUGUGCACGCCUACCGGUGGGCUGAUGCUCCCGAUGUGUUCCUAUGCAGAACCACGUGUCUGUACUUGAAUUCUGAAAAGUCUGGCCUUCAGACAGUUUAGACACAGCUAUUGAUAAAGUUGAUAUUGGAUGGUAUGGAAUGCACAGGUAUAUCCACCUCCUGUUGUUAUUUCAUAAGGAUUGUGUUCUGCUAACCUCAUAAGGGGCUGUGACUGUAGGCUCAGAUCCACAAGAGGUGUUGUACACGUUUGAUGUUAACCUGGAGAGGACUAGUUCUUCACUUCCACAAGGGUCAAGACAUCAGUAAACUCACAUGAGGUGUGGUGAGUAUCUGUGCAGCGUGGAGGUUCUUUGACCCUCUCAGCAAAUAGUCUCACCUGGAAUAAGGUGUUAAACUGCAUGGGUAAAGCUGUGGAAAUGUUGAUAUGUUAUUUGACAUUGAUACUGCAUAUGUUGCAGUGUUCAGACAGACAUAAGGGAAUGGGGAACACUUUUACUUCAGGAUACAUCAAAUGUGUAUGUUUUGAAGAAGUAGAAGUAAUACUAACAUUUUGUGAUUGAAUGGAGUCUUUAUGUAUUUAAAAAUACAAAUGAAUGUCAAGUGGCAUGAUCAGCCUGAAAUCUGGUCAGUAUAAGUAUGUG
rnacentral:lncRNA from 1 species